CGCCUCUUGGCCCCCCCCCUCAUAAGAGGUCAAACCUGCCCAGUGACCACGUGUUCAACGGCCGCGGUAUCUUGACCGUGCAAAGGUAGCGUAAUCAUUUGUCUUUUAAAUGAAGACCUGUAUGAAUGGUUUAACGAGGGCUUAACUGUCUCCUUCCCCCAGUCAAUGAAAUUGACCUCCCCGUGCAGAGGCGGGGAUCCCCACAUAAGACGAGAAGACCCUGUGGAGCUUUUAAAUACAAGUCAAAGCCAAGUCUAUAAGCACUAAUAAAACGUAAAACACAUUGGCCUAGGACAAUAUUUUAGGUUGGGGCGACCCUGGGGAAUACAAAACCCCCAUGUGGAAUAAGCCCACGUUAAAACACACACCGGGCUUUAAGACAAAGAAAGACACUUCUAAUCAGCAGAAUUUCUGACCUAGUGGAUCCGGCACGACCGAUCAACGAACCAAGUUACCCCAGGGAUAACAGCGCAAUCCCCUUCUAGAGCCCCUAUCGACAAGGGGGUUUACGACCUCGAUGUUGGAUCAGGACAUCCUAGUGAUGAAGCCAUUAUUAAGGGUUCGUUUGUUCAACGAUUAAAGUCCU
rnacentral:rRNA from 1 species